rnacentral:rRNA from 1 species
UACGGAGGAUCCAAGCGUUAUCCGGAUUUAUUGGGUUUAAAGGGUGCGUAGGCGGCCUGUUAAGUCAGGGGUGAAAUUUUUCGGCUCAACCGGAAGCUUGCCCUUGAUACUGAUGGGCUUGAUUACACUUGAGGUAGGCGGAAUGUGACAAGUAGCGGUGAAAUGCAUAGAUAUGUCACAGAACACCAAUUGCGAAGGCAGCUUACUAAGGUGUCAAUGACGCUGAGGCACGAAAGCGUGGGGAUCAAACAGG